GCAGGCAUCGGUGAAGGCCUGAUGGAUUUUCAUUUUCGGAGUUUUACACCAGUCUAUACUCUUGCCAUACAGGUACUCUAAUGAUUACCAGCUAUAUACUGAAGAUUUUGAGAUCAUGGGUUUCACAAAAAUGAUAGAUCAAACCCUCAUUUAGAGGUAAAAGUGAAAUCAGAGCUGUCAAGUAAAUCGGCAGAUGGGUUCCAACAGGCAAUCUUGGCGAUUAAUCUGGCAGACAUAUUCACAAUGAAUCCAUCAGAUCCAUUUAACAAGUUCAAAAACUGACCGCAAACAGGUUCUCGCUUCUUAGCACAAUACUCGAGAUGGUUUCACUUACCUAAUAUUUUUCUCUUCCUGUUGGAAGCGUCUUUCAGUCUUUUCAUCUGUACCGCGUGGAAUUCCGCUAGAAUCCAUGAAUCAAACCCAAGCCUUUGAUAAAAAAGUAUUUACCCUUUGUGAACAUUCCUGACACAAUAAACGUUUUUGACUCUGUAUCUGUCUUUCUUCUAUUCUUCUUUUUUCUCUGUAGAACACAGAAUGAAAUCAACUUAUGAUAAAUGACAAAGAUGAAUGAG
rnacentral:lncRNA from 1 species